UGGGGAAUAUUGCACAAUGGGCGCAAGCCUGAUGCAGCGACGCCGCGUGGGGGAUGAAGGCCUUCGGGUUGUAAACUCCUUUCGCUAUCGACGAAGCCACUUGUGGUGACGGUAGGUAGAUAAGAAGCACCGGCUAACUACGUGCCAGCAGCCGCGGUAAUACGUAGGGUGCAAGCGUUGUCCGGAAUUACUGGGCGUAAAGAGCUCGUAGGUGGUUUGUCGCGUCGUCUGUGAAAUCCCGGGGCUUAACUUCGGGCGUGCAGGCGAUACGGGCAUAACUUGAGUGCUGUAGGGGAGACUGGAAUUCCUGGUGUAGCGGUGAAAUGCGCAGAUAUCAGGAGGAACACCGAUGGCGAAGGCAGGUCUCUGGGCAGUUACUGACGCUGAGGAGCGAAAGCAUGGGUAGCGAACAGGAUUAGAUACCCUGGUAGUCCAUGCCGUAAACGGUGGGCGCUAGGUGUAGGGGGCUUCCACGUCUUCUGUGCCGUAGCUAACGCAUUAAGCGCCCCGCCUGGGGAGUACGGCCGCAAGGCUAA
rnacentral:rRNA from 1 species